rnacentral:rRNA from 1 species
ACUCUCAGCAACGGAUAUCUUGGCUCUUGCCACGAUGAAGAACGCAGCGAAAUGCGAUACGUGAUGUGAAUUGCAGAACUCCGUGAAUCAUUGAAUCUUUGAACGCAACUUGCGCCCGGGGCUUGUCC